ACGCUGGCGGCACGCCUAACACAUGCAAGUCGAACGAAGUAGCAAUACUUAGUGGCAGACGGGUGAGUAACAUGUAGGUAUCUGCCCUUUGGCCUGGAAUAACACGAGGAAACUUGUGCUAAUACCGGAUAAGUCUUUACGGAGAAAGCUUUAUGCACCAUUGGAUGAGCCUGCACUUGAUUAGUUUGUUGGUGGGGUAAUGGCCUACCAAGACUGUGAUCAAUAGCUGAUUUGAGAGGAUGAUCAGCCACAUUGGGACUGAGACACGGCCCAAACUCCUACGGGAGGCAGCAGUGGGGAAUCUUGCACAAUGGAGGAAACUCUGAUGCAGCGAUGCCGCGUGAGUGAAGAAGGCCUUUGGGUUGUAAAGCUCUUUCGUCGGGGAAGAAAAUGACUGUACCCGAAUAAGAAGGUCCGGCUAACUUCGUGCCAGCAGCCGCGGUAAUACGAAGGGACCUAGCGUAGUUCGGAAUUACUGGGCUUAAAGAGUUCGUAGGUGGUUGAAAAAGUUAGUGGUGAAAUCCCAGAGCUUAACUCUGGAACUGCCAUUAAAACUUUUCAGCUAGAGUAUGAUAGAGGAAAGCAGAAUUUCUAGUGUAGAGGUGAAAUUCGUAGAUAUUAGAAAGAAUACCAAUUGCGAAGGCAGCUUUCUGGAUCAUUACUGACACUGAGGAACGAAAGCAUGGGUAGCGAAGAGGAUUAGAUACCCUCGUAGUCCAUGCCGUAAACGAUGUGUGUUAGACGUUGGAAAUUUAUUUUCAGUGUCGCAGGGAAACCGAUAAACACACCGCCUGGGGAGUACGACCGCAAGGUUAAAACUCAAAUGAAUUGACGGGGACCCGCACAAGUAGUGGAGCAUGUGGUUUAAUUCGAAGAUACGCGCAGAACCUUACCAACACUUGACAUGUUCGUCGCGACUCUAAGAGAUUAGAGUUUUCGGUUCGGCCGGACGAAACACAGGUGCUGCAUGGCUGUCGUCAGCUCGUGUCGUGAGAUGUUGGGUUAAGUCCCGCAACGAGCGCAACCCUCACUUUUAGUUGCCAUCAUUAAGUUGGGCACUCUGAAAGAACUGCCAGUGAUAAGCUGGAGGAAGGUGGGGAUGACGUCAAGUCCUCAUGGCCCUUACGUGUUGGGCUACACACGUGCUACAAUGGCAUCUACAACAGGAAGCAAAACGGCAACGUUAAGCAAAUCCCGAAAAGAUGCCUCAGUUCGGAUUGCACUCUGCAACUCGAGUGCAUGAAGCUGGAAUUACUAGUAAUCGUGGAUCAGCGUGCCACGGUGAAUGCGUUCCCGGGUCUUGUACACACCGCCCGUCA
rnacentral:rRNA from 1 species